UACGAAGGGGGCUAGCGUUGCUCGGAAUCACUGGGCGUAAAGCGCACGUAGGCGGGUCGUUAAGUCAGGGGUGAAAUCCUGGAGCUCAACUCCAGAACUGCCCUUGAUACUGGCGAUCUCGAGUUCGGGAGAGGUGAGUGGAACUGCGAGUGUAGAGGUGAAAUUCGUAGAUAUUCGCAAGAACACCAGUGGCGAAGGCGGCUCACUGGCCCGAUACUGACGCUGAGGUGCGAAAGCGUGGGGAGCAAACAGGGAUUAAGAAACCCC
rnacentral:rRNA from 1 species